rnacentral:rRNA from 1 species
AGCCUUCAGCCAAACCAAAUCAAGUAUUGAAGGUGAUGCCUGCCCGGUGACCUGACGUUUAACGGCCGCGGUAUCCUAACCGUGCAAAGGUAGCGCAAUCAAUUGUCCCAUAAAUCGAGACUAGUAUGAAUGGCUAAACGAGGUCUUAACUGUCUCUUGCAGGCGAUCGGUGAAAUUGAUCUCCCUGUGCGAAAGCAGGGAUAAACCCAUAAGACGAGAAGACCCUGUGGAACUUCAAAACCAGCGGCCACCCCAAAUCACAUAACCACCCACUGGGUUCACGCACACACUAAGCCACUGGCCCGCGUUUUUCGGUUGGGGCGACCUUGGAGAAAAACAAAUCCUCCAAAAAUUGGACCAUCCCUCCAGACUAAGAGCAACCCCUCAACGUGCUAAUAGCAACCAGACCCAAUAUAAUUGAUCAAUGGACCAAGCUACCCCAGGGAUAACAGCGCAAUCUCCUUCGAGAGUCCAUAUCGACAAGGAGGUUUACGACCUCGAUGUUGGAUCAGGACAUCCUAGUGGUGCAGCCGCUACUAAGGGUUCGUUUGUUCAACGAUUAACAGUCCU